rnacentral:rRNA from 1 species
UACAGAGGUCUCAAGCGUUGUUCGGAUUCAUUGGGCGUAAAGGGUGCGUAGGUGGCGGGGUAAGUUGGAUGUGAAAUCCCGGGGCUCAACCCCGGAACUGCAUUCAAUACUGCCUUGCUAGAGUACUGGAGAGGAGAUUGGAAUUUACGGUGUAGCAGUGAAAUGCGUAGAUAUCGAUAAGGAAGACCAGUGGCGAAGGCGGAUCUCUGGACAGUUACUGACACUGAGGCACGAAGGCCAGGGGAGCAAACGGG